CGGGAAAAAUGAGUGUAUAUGGAAAAAGUUUUAGAUUUAUGUGUAGAGAUAGUUCAUAUUCCAAUAAGAAACCUGGCAAUCUUGAUUUAGGGGAAAAAAGUUGGCACGCCAACUUUCAAUUUGCCCAAUAACUAAAAGAGCAAAACUGAAAUAUUUUUCUAUAAAUACGAGCCAAACUUUCAAAACUCCAUUAAGAAAAUUCUCUCUCUAAGUUGAUGUUCUCUCUUUUUCAGUUCAAGAUUGGUCCUAUGAUGGUUUGUUUUUGAGAUUGUGCAGUGGUGGAGAAAUGGAUUGGAGAAAGCUUUGGAACAAUUCUCCUGAUGUCUUCACUCAAGAAAAUCUGGAAAGGUUAUUCAGACUGCCUCGAGUGCCAACGCACCAAGUAUAAACAGACAGAGUUAAGUUGGGCAUAGAUUUGCUCGCCGUGGCCUGAGAGGCUCUGAAAUUGAGUAUUUCACAAAACGGACAUCUUUUUCUCCUUUGCUCUCUCUCUCUCAUUAAAGGGAACCUCUUGAAGUCAGAGUUAAGGUUCAGGUUUUUUAGAAAUCGUUUGAGCAUUUCUGAAUCCACGCAGGUGAAGCAGGUGGGCGACGAAACAGCUAGACAGAGUGACAGCAUGGUGGCGAUGCUGGCCGGAUAGGCAAUCAUGAGGUGGCCGAAGGCGAGUUGGGCUUGGAUCGAGAGACAAAGAAUUAUGGCCCCACUUUGUUAUUGUAUCAACUAUUUAUGCUAUGUAAUUUGUAAAUGGUACGUAUAUGUUUAUUUAAAUUGCUAAAGGCAGUAUACAUCUUUAAAAAUGAGUA